CUGCGACAUCGUCUGUGAUACAGAAAAAAAGAAAACCAAAAUUACUUCAUACAAUCAUAGGCAUGUUAAAAAGUGUCUCUUCAAGUUAAGAUACAAUAUGAAAGACUGACCUAUGGAAAACACCAUUACCUUAUUUUUACCAGGCAGAAGUGACACUAACAAUCAACUGCCAAAGCAUUCAAAAAAAGUGCCAGAGUUUUAAGCACUCCAAAGAAGCAGUUGAGUUCAAGUAAUACUAUUUCCGAAAGCUGGCUAAAUCCUGAAAUUGACAGCAGCGAGAUUUUUUAGGUUCAAGUGGGACCGUGCAAAUUGGGACGAGAUGUGACUGGAUGUGACAUGCGUCUACGCCAGGUCACACAGCGUUGUGGUUGUGGCACAGUUUCUCGCACUGCAUGCCACGCCAGUACUGUGAGAGGGGUGAGGUGGGAAGCAGGAAGGCAGUUCUGCCAUAUGCUCACCCUGGCAUGGCGCAUAUGGUCAGUGGAAGUGUUGCCCAUCCGAAAAAUAUGGCCUUAAUGGAUAGGGUUUCGUUUUUCGCUGUUUAAGCACUCCAUCUCAUUUUGAUAGUACAUAAUAUUUUCAG